rnacentral:lncRNA from 1 species
ACUGUGAGUAUUUCCACUACCUUUGGUUCCUUAAAUAUUCCUAAUGUUUUACUUGUUCCCAAACUAAAGAAACAACUCAUAUAUGUAUCUCAAUUUGCUAAAGAUUUUAAGUGUUGUUUUGAGUUUACCCAUUAUGGUUGUGUUGUGAAGGAUCUAUAAAGUGGGAAGGUGAUUGCUGAGGGGGUGCUGAGAGAAGGUUUGUAUGUGCUUCAAAAUGAUCAACUCU